UGAGAGGCCUGGACGGCCGCUCCGGCGGGGUGAAAGCCUCAACCGGGGAGGAAAGUCCGGACUCCACGGGUCAGGGAGGUUGCCAACGGCAACCGGCCGCGAGGCCAGGGAAAGUGCCACAGAAAACAAACCGCCGACGUGGGGCGCGAGCUCCACGGGCAAGGGUGAAACGGUGCGGCAAGAGCGCACCGCACUGCUGGUGACAGCAGUGGCAGGGCAAACCCCUCCCGGAGAAAGUUCAAAUAGGGAAGGUCAUGUGGCGACGACCCGCGUCCAGCGCCUUCCGGGUAGAACGUUCGAGGCCGUGCGCGAGCGCGGUCCCAGAGAAAUGGCCGUCGCCCGUCGAAAGACGGGGACAGGAUCCGGCUUAUCGGGCCUCUCACGCC
rnacentral:RNase_P_RNA from 1 species